CUGAAGUAGAAAGAAAAGUUUGAGAGUUCUAAAUUUAGAGUUCCUCUUCUUUAGCACAUUCUACUCUGUGUGCAGGUGUCUCCUGGCCCUUCUUGUGUAAUCCUGUGGGAAUUGGGACUUGAAGAACUGGCUCAAGAAAAUGAUCCUCUCGUUACUGCUUUUUCUGUGUGUAAUAAACUGUCCUUUGUCUUUAAUCGAGGAGCCUUGUGUCUACUGCUAACCUCCAUGAAAUUGUGGCAUGCUGACUUGUUUGUUUGCUAAUAGGAUUUUACUUAUUUGUUGGAGAGAGAGAGAGCACACAAGCAGAAGGAGCAGCAGGCAGAGGGAGAAGCAGACUCCCUGCUGACCAAGGAGCUGGAUGUGGGACUCGAUCCCAGGACCUUGGGAUCGUGACCUGAGCUGAAGGCAGCCACUUAACCAACUGAGCCACCCAGGUGUUCCCAGACUGCCAUUAUCUUUAAGAAAUAUAUUAAAGGUCAGAUGAAAAUUUUUUGUUUUAUUUUGUUUUGUUUUAGUUCAUAGAUAAAAAAUUUCACAUUU
rnacentral:lncRNA from 1 species